CUCCAAUGAUGACCAAUGAUUUUGUGCCACGUGUCUGGGCCACUGAAUGUUAAUGAUGGUAUUGAGGAGCUGAAGGAG